rnacentral:rRNA from 1 species
GAUGAACGCUGGCGGCGUGCCUAAUACAUGCAAGUCGAGCGAAGGGACGAGAAGUUUGCUUCUCUGAUGUUAGCGGCGGACGUGUGAGUAACAUGUGUAACACGCCCCUAUAAGAGGGGGAUAACUUCGGGAAACCGGCGCUUACACCGGAUAAUAUUUUGAACCACAUGGUUCAAAAGUGAAAGACGGUCUUGCUGUCACUUAUAGAUGGAUCCGCGCUGCAUUAGGUAGUUGGUAAGGUAACGGCUUACCAAGGCAACGAUGCAUAGCCGACCUGAGAGGGUGAUCGCCCACACUGGAACUGGGCCACGGUCCAGACUCCUACGGGAGCCAGCAGUAGGGAAUCUUCCGCAAUGGGCGAAAGCCUGACGGAGCAACGCCGCGUGGGUGAUGAGGUUCUUCGGAUCGUAAACCUCUGUUAUUGGGGAGGAACAUAUGUGUAAGUGACUGUGCACAUCUUGACGGUACCUUAUCAGAAAGCCACGGCUAACUACGUG